rnacentral:lncRNA from 1 species
CAAAAGAUCGUCUAUUCCCCAUCUUUUUUUCAGAGUUAACAAGCGGUGGUAUCAAACAAGUGACAAAUAUAACAAUAUGUUACAAAUUUAACACCGAUCACACAUAAGCAUAUCUUGACUCAAACAUAGCAUCCAACAGUAGUUUAGUACACACUCGCCCAAAUCAAACUCUCAAGACAGGACAUAACAUUAAAGUUUGACAACACGCGACACUUAGUUCUCGGUACUUAAAUUCAGAAACAUGAAAUAACAAUGACAGGCAGUGUAAAGAGCAGUAUUGUUGCCAUCCCCCAAACUUCUAAACUUCAAGCUUCAUUGCUUCUGCUCCAACGACCAGCCAAAAUUAUUCAGAACCACAACCAAUAAAACAGAACGUCUAGAAUAUGAAAAUUAAUUCAAUUGAGUUGAUCAUAUGGGUAGAUAGAAUCAUAAAGGAGAUUAUUACAUUGAUUCGCAUCAGCAGGGUCAAUGUUAACAAGGAUUCUGGAUGUGUUAUUUGAUGAAUAAAACAAAAUCUACAUGUAUUUUGUACACCAAGUUUAUUACACUGAUUCAGAGCAGCAAGGUCCUAUAAAAACAGUGAAUUCAUGGUGUUCUAAUUGUGUAACUGAUAUCUAACUAAGAACUAUAUUCUCAUAUUACCAAGAUGAAUAAAAAAGAAAAGUCCAACUGAGAGGAGCUGCUUCUCAUAAAGAUCUAAACAAAUGCCAACCAACUUGAUGGUCCAUCCUAAAAGAUUCUACUUUUUCAUGAUAAGCAGGUUAAUCGUGCACAAAUAAGAUAACUGAUAUUCCAACAAAUGGCAGCUAGCUUUGAACUCCACAAGAUCUCUAGUUUUGGUUGCAAGGCUGUCACAAGAUCCCUGCAGUUUUAGUUUUGGUUUGGUUGCAAGGCUGUCAGACUCGUACUAAUUUCAGAAGUUCAGAUAUAGUAAAACUCUUACUAAUCCCAGAACAUCUGAACUGCACAAGAACCCUGUAGUUUUAGAUAAAACAAAGCACAACAGGACUAUCCCUGAAAAUGGAAUACAGAAGGGCCAUUUUCCGAAUGAUACAAGUACUAUGCUUCUUAUCAAAUUAGCUUGUAAGUUCUCAGUUCAUGUGGUAGAGAAAAGGUUAACUUAUCCUUUAUGGUACAUAUUGUAUAUGCAAUAGUCUCUAUACUUUAAUUUAAUAUUUAUCAAUCGUUAGAACAAAAGAUUCACAUCUAUUAUCUUCAUUUAUGUUUCAUAAUGGAUUGCAAACUAAGAGUCGUUAUAAAGUAUUUGUUGGUAUCAAAGAGGGAAAGUUGUACCACCAAUUAUCAAAAGCACUUAAAUGAGGUCACCAAGGUGGGAAGGGAGAGAGCGAGGGAGAGAGAGAGAGAGAGAUAUCGUUUUGUUGGGCUAACAGCAGGUUGAUGAUAGGUGGAGGCAUUGGGAUUCCAGGAAGCACCACCUCCCAGUACAUCUUUGGCAUCUCCACGGAGUUUGGCAUCCCCGCCGUGGCCGCAUCGGCGAAACUCGCAAGCCAGACUCUCUCUCCUCCAGUGAACUGCGUGCAUCAGAGAAUAGAUGGAUAAUUUUAAAAAACGAGAGCUUGGGUCUAUUUUACAUAACACAACUGUAACCUGUGAAUAGAAACAUGAUGACCCCAGGUUGCAAUCAAGGACCAGCAAAUUAUAAGAAUCUAAUAAAAUGAGUAAAAGAAAUUACAUAUUGACGAAAUCCCAACAAUUAAGAAAUCCAUUCACGGUUAAUUCACAAUCCCAAUUAGCAUUAUACUCCUACCUCACAGCCGAAACAGAAGUGGUUGCAGCACUUCCAUACGCUAGCACAGAGCAUCCAACUAUCAGUCUGGACC